AGCACUCAUACUUUUCACCUUCCUAUAGGUGAGAUCACCAACACACCGCUUUGCUUCUAUGCACUGACAAGUCUUCUAUUUGGUGGAGUGCCCAUUACCCUAUCAACCCCAUUUGAUAGGGAGGCCGUUUAUGAGCUCAUUUUCAUCAAUUCUACUAAAUCUACCAUUCUUCUCUCCACCAUCCACAACUUUUGAACCGGGAUGGGCAAGGUCAUAGGAGAGAGAGUAGUUUUUUCCGAUGUGUGUAUCUCUACUGGGCAGGCCAAUGCUUGUUCAAUAAUCCUUUGAAUAGGGUGGAUCUUCGCUUUGCCUACUACUUCUGGGAUCUUGACAACAUCUCGAGGUAUGAUUGGCGCGGUGCCACUUACGCUAAUUUUAUGAGGAUGAUGGACCGUCUCACUUUUAGCGAUCCCAGUGUGUAUUGGGCUUCCUAUAUUUUGCAGGUAAGAGCCAACAUGUUGGCAUAUUUUCCAAUUCUCCUAUUUUUUUGACUGCCCUAGUCAUAUGAGCACCUGGAUUUCCUCUCUCCUGCUCGAGAGGAUCGAAAUCGCAAGGACUUUCCUAUUACCAGGAGAUGAGGUUUAGGUGUGACCCCUCACCUUCAUCCAAUUUCAGGGAGGGACAUUAUGAAUCAGCUCACUAAGGUACAUCUUUACCUCUCAUUGCUUUUCUUAUUAUGCUCUUUCUAAUGCUUAUCUACUUGGGAAGGUGAAUUGGAAUCCAUUCUAGUUUGUGACCUUCCCUUCCAUAGCACACCAGGAUGAGGCCAGAUGGCUCACCGGUCUCUGUAUGUUAUUUUGCAACCCCAGCGGUUUGGCGUGGUACCUGGGAGAGAGAGUAGCUAGACAGUGGUUUGACUCAGAUGGCCCAUUGGUUCCUCAUUAUCCUCCUCCAUCCAUGCAUGAUCCAGAUGUGAUGCCUGAGGACGAGUUCCAGGAGACUUUGGUUGGCAUGACUGUGGAUCACUUCACUGAUCCAACGAGGAGUUACCAGGAGUUCCUCUAGCAGGAGACCAUGUGCAUACCAUUGACAUCUGAUGGCCCUUGGUCAUCUUUGUUGGUUGGAACAUUCCUAGGUUAGUUGGUGCUUCCACAGAAGGUUCCACACACAUGAGCACUGAGCUGGUUCACAACAUGGUAGAUCAUUUCACCUCUAUCUCUGGUUUCCCUAGAUGGACGUACCAUGAUGCACAUAACCCUAUGGCCCAAGUCAUGCUACCAAGAUCGACAGUGCCUCUUGAUACCAUGUGUCUCCCCAUUCCUUUUGACUGCGUUUCCCCUUCUGUGUAUACUGAAUGCCACGUGAUGUUCCAGAGCUCCUCACUCAUCAUCGAUGAUGGAUUCUGGCUAAUAUGGCCUUGUUGACAGGAACUGUACAUUGUUGACAUCUAGACACGGCCAUGCCAGCUAGAUCCUAGGUUUAGAGGUAGAAGUGCCAGCACUGAGUAUGGCAGUGAGCUCUUGAUCCCGGUUAUAGAGGUGCUGGCCCGAGUCACAGAGGAGGAGGAUCUGGCUUUGGAUUUGGAGGUGGGGGUCUUGGCUUUGGAACUGAUGGAUCUGACUUUGGGGGUGGAGACCGCGAGGCCCCCGCCAUUUCUCUGGAGGAAAUGAAUCUCCUUAUGCAGGAGAAUCUUCAUGAUAUACCGGGUGGCCAGGGCGGCCAUAGGACUGGUUCAUGUUUAUGCAUGCAAACUCUUUUUAUUUUCCUUUUUAGAUUUUUAUGUUUUAUUUUAUUGAUGAAACAAUGCAAUAUGAUGUUUAUUUUA